UACGUAGGGGGCUAGCGUUGUCCGGAAUCAUUGGGCGUAAAGCGCGUGUAGGCGGUCCGGUAAGUCCGCUGUGAAAGUCGGGGGCUCAACCCUCGAAUGCCGGUGGAUACUGUCGGGCUAGAGUGCGGAAGAGGCGAGUGGAAUUCCUGGUGUAGCGGUGAAAUGCGCGGAUAUCAGGAGGAACACCGGUGGCGAAGGCGGGUCUCUGGGCCGUAACUGACGCUGAGGAGCGAAAGCAUGGGGAGCGAACAGG
rnacentral:rRNA from 1 species